rnacentral:rRNA from 1 species
UACGUAGGUGGCGAGCGUUAUCCGGAUUUACUGGGUGUAAAGGGCGUGUAGGCGGGACUGCAAGUCAGGCGUGAAAACUGGGGGCUCAACCUCCAGCCUGCGUUUGAAACUGUAGUUCUUGAGUGAUGGAGAGGCAAGCGGAAUUCCGUGUGUAGCGGUGAAAUGCGUAGAUAUACGGAGGAACACCAGUGGCGAAGGCGGCUUGCUGGACAUUAACUGACGCUGAGGCGCGAAAGCGUGGGGAGCAA